rnacentral:rRNA from 1 species
CUGUUCCUACGGGGCGCAGCAGUGAGGAAUAUUGGUCAAUGGGCGGAAGCCUGAACCAGCCAAGUCUCGUGAGGGAUUAAGGCCCUGCGGGUCGUAAACCUCUUUUGCCGGGGAGCAGAGGUCCGGACGUGUCCGGGCCGGGAGAGUACCCGGAGAAAAAGCAUCGGCUAACUCCGUGCCAGCAGCCGCGGUAAUACGGAGGAUGCGAGCGUUAUCCGGAUUUAUUGGGUUUAAAGGGUGCGCAGGCGGUCUGUUAAGUCAGCGGUCAAAGCCCGGGGCUCAACCCCGGCCCGCCGUUGAAACUG